rnacentral:lncRNA from 1 species
CAGGUCUUGCUGCUGCUCCCUCUUUGGGUCCGCACUGCCUUUAUGAGCUGUAACAGUCACCGCGAAGGUCUGCAGCUUCAAUCCUGAGGCCAGCGAGACCACGAACCCACCAGGAGGAAUGAACAACUCCGGAUGGGAGGAACGAACAACUCCGGAUGGGAGGAACGAACAACUCCAGACGCGCGCCGCUUUAAGAGCUGUAACAUUCACUGCGAAGGUCUGCAGCUUCACUCCUGAAGCCAGCGAGACCAUGAACCCACCAGAAGGAAGAAACUCCGAACACGUCCGAACAUCAGAAGGAACAAACUCCAGACACACCAUCUUUAAGAACUGUAAUACUCACCGCGAGGUUCGGCAGCUUCAGUCUUGAAGUCAAUGAGUCCAAGAACCCACCAAUUCUGGACACAGUAGGAUAGUGUGUUAUGAAGAUGUAUUUAUUAGGAGGUAAGCCUCCUCGAAAAAAUCAAAAGACCUUUGUUGCACCAAAUUCCUUGCUAUAAUGAUUCCUGUUAGAGUGAAACGCCUAUUUGCUUCCAGAGUAUAAAUUUCAUUCCAAUUGGAGGAAAAGGCUUAAAUGACUUCAAGAAACACAUUGUAAAUUUGCCACCUCUUUUGCAUUUUCCUGAGAUAUUUUCCUCAAGGAAUUGACGUGCAAAUCACCAAGGUCUACAUAUUUUUCCCAUUACCUACAAAAGUAGUGACUAUACCAAUUAGAAAUUUUGUUCACUAGUAAAAAAUCAAUAAGAGUACACUGCUUGGACACUUACAUAAGAAGUUAUAAUUUUUUUUUCUUUCUGAAUCAUUUCUCCUAAGCCGUUUUCUACUGACAGGAGUCUGUCUCUUCACAUUAGUGACAGGAAGAAAUAAUUAAGUGUAAGUUGUCACUUGUGAUCGGAAGAUCCAUGAAGUAAAAGUGAACUAAGUGGGGCAGAUGAAAUCCUGGCUGUCCUCUCUACAUCUGCUGAAAUAGACUUAGGAAUCAUCUCUGAAACAUUCCCACUUCUAAUUUCCAGAAUUUAUGUGGAUUACAAAUGAGAAUAAUCUAGAUUUUUCUUGUAGAAUCUUGAAGAGGCAUUCUUUAUUUUUAAUCACUUACCCUUAGGAAUAUCCUCAGAAUGUGCCUGAAAUUAGGACAAAUCUAUGUAUUAUAGUUAGAGUGAAAUAUUAGUAAUUGUUUAAUGUCACUACGCCUAACUUAACUGUUAGUGUGAAUUUUGAGUGGAUAAAUAAGGAAUAUUUAUUGCUCUCAUUGUUCAUUCAUUCAACAAGCAUUUAGUGAAUACCUUCCAUAUACCAGAGAUUUUUCAAGUAAUUGAGAAAAUAAAGAUAAUUAAGAUAGUUCACCUCAAGUUUCUCCCAGUUUAGAAGAAGAUAAAUUAGAAAAUUGAUGGUUAGAAUAUAGCAUGGUCAGAGCUAUGGGAAAAGAGAAUAUCAUAUGAGACUGGUGAACAGACAUGAGGAUGCAAUGCUUGUUCUUGGUCUGGAAGGAUACUUUGGAGCUAUUUAGGAGACUAAUGAUGGAAGACUUUGCUGGGUUGGGUAAAAUGUAGCAACUGCAAUAAUAGAGAAAAUUGCAGAAAAAAGGCCAGUGUCUGUCUAUUCUGGCUGCUGUAACAAAAAUACCCUAGACUGGAUGGCUUAUAAACAACAGAAAUUUAUUUCUCAUAUCUCUAGAUCCUGGAAUGUUCAAGAUUAAGGUGCUGGCUGAUUUAGUGUCUUUUGAGGGCCUGUUUCUUGUUGCUUCGUGGGAUGGUGUAAGGAACAAAGCAACUUUCUGGGCCAUCUUUUAUAAAGGCACUAAUACCAUGCACAAGGGCUCUGCACUUACGAUCUAAUCACCUACCAGAGGCCCCACCUCCUGAUAUCAUCACCUUGAGAGCGAGGAUCUCAACAUAUAAAUUUUAGGAGAACACAAAUAGACCAUAGUCACCAACAACUGCAAAGUCAAGUAGAUAUGAGGCUGCACCUCUGGGGAGCAGCAAGUAAUGUGGUCUAGCUGGGGAGAAGGGUAAGGAAGGAAUAAUGUAGGAGGUGAGCCUGAAGAAAGAGAGGCAAUGGUCAGAUCAUAAAGCCUCAAAUGCUUCCCUGAGAAGUUUGCAUUUUAUUCUGAAGAUUAUAGGAGGGCACUGUAGAUUUCCAAACAUGGCUAGUUUUGUAUUUUACAAGGAUUACUCUGGUAUUAAGAUAUUAGCAAGACUGGGGAUAAGGGACCAGUUAAGAAGAGAAAAAGAAGGAAUGAAGAUGCCCUCCCUUCAUCUCCAUCUUUUUAAUGGAAAGAUGGUUGUGCUUCUACCUGAAAAUGGAAAUAAUGAGAAGAAGCGACUUUCUUCUUUGGGAGGUGGAGGAUGAAGAGAAAGGCCAAGUUCAAUAGAGACCGGGUCUCACUCUGUUCCCAGGCAGGUGUGCAGUGGCAUAAUCAGCUCAUUGCAGCCUCUAACUCUUGGGCUCAUGCAAUCCUCCUACCUAAGACUCGUGAGUAGCUAGAACUAUAGACAUGCACCACCACACUCACCUAACUUUUUCUGUGUGUACAGAUAGGAUUUUGCUAUGUUGCUCAGGCUAGUCUCAAACUCCUGGCCUCAAGUGAUCCUGUCACCUCGACUUCCCAAAGCACAGGCAUGAGCCAUGGUGCUUGGUCUGUAAUCUCCAUUAUAAUUUAUUUUUUGAUUCCUGGAUUUAAAAGUGUCUAGUUUCCAAGGGUUGGAAAUGUCCUAAUCAUCUUUCAGUUACUAAUUUUUAACAUAAAUUUAUUCCAGUUAGAAAAACUAAAAAUUAUUCAAGGCUUUGAAAUACGUCAAUAUUUACUAUAUGACCCAGGAUCUUAUUAAUUUUUAAAAUGUUUCAUCUGCAAUUAAAAUAAUGUGGAUUCUAUCAUUGUUGGGUGAAACAGUCUACAUAUAUUUAUUCAGUCAAGUUGGUUAAUUGUGUUUCUAAGAUUUUCUCUAUCCUUUGAGAAUUUUUGUUUACUUUUUAAAAGUAACUUCACAAGAGAUGUGUUAAGGUCUUUUAUUAUGAUUGUAGAUUUUUCUAUUAAAAUGUUUAGUUAUAUAAUUUUUCUACUAAAUUUUUAGUUUUAGAUUUUUCUAUUAAAAUGUUUAGCUAUAUCAAUUUUUUACUGUAUGUAUUUAAUAAUUUUUUACUGUAUGUAUUUAAUAAUUACACUAUUGGUGGAUAAAGAUUUGGGAUUUAUGUUCCUAGGAGACUGACCUUUUUAUCAUUUUGAAAUGUAAAUCCCUUUAGCUACUAAUACAAAUUGUCAUAAGAAUCUACUUUUUCUAAUGUCAAUAUAGCUAAGCCAAAUAUUUUUGGUAAGUACUACUUGCAUGAUAUACCUUUUACAUUUUACUUUCAACUUUUCUGUGUCUUUCUAUUUAAGAUGCACUCAUCGUCAUAUAGUUCGAUUCUGAUAUUCUAGGUCUUAAUUGGAUUAUUUACUCAAUUUACAUUUAAUGUUAUUAUAGAUAUAGUUAUUUUCUAUUUCAUCCAUCUAUUUUAUAUUCUCGUUACUAUCUUUUCUUGCUAUCUUUAGGUCAAAUAACUAUUUUACUAUUCAUAUUUUCUCUCCAUUAGCAUUUUGAAACUAUUCCUUCAGUGAUUACCCUAGGAACUUAACUAUGCAUACUUGACUUAAUGUAGCCUAAUAUAAAUUAUUAUUUUAAACUUUAUGCACUUAUAAAGAUGUCUCUAGCUAUAAGAGUAUGAGACACAAAUUAAGCACUUAAUAUAUAUCUAUGAUAUUAUAGAAGGAGGGAAGUAAUAUUUAAAAGAGCAGAUAAAGUGAGACUGCAAAGUGUAAACAUUUUAAUUAGAGCUUUCAAAUUCUUAAAAUAUUUGCCUUCUGUGUUCUUCAAUCUCUCAGAACUUACAUUACUUUACAAGUGUUUCUCAAAGUACUGACUGUGAACUACCUGCAAUAAAAUACUGAGAGUGAGGAAGAGGGGUUGUGCUUGUUAAAAAUGUCAAUUCCUGGGAUCUGGUCUGUGCAUAAAAAUUAGAAAUUAUGCAUGCUUGAUUUCAAGAACCUACCAGUCGUAUGAAAGUAUUGUAUAAUUAAUCCAGUUGUUCCUAUUGACUUAACAAUAUGAACUAAUACUAGUUCUAAAUGGGUCAUGCAUCUUCAUGUCAGGAUGCCUGGAUUAAAAUUCUAGUCUUUACUACUUAUAAAGUAUGUGACCUUGGGCAAGUUACCUUAUAUCUCUAACCUUUAGUUUCUCAUUGUGUUCAAUAAAUGUAAUAGCAUAUACCUCAUAUAUUCAUUGUGAGAAUUAAAUAUAUGUAGAGUACUCAGAAUAGUACUUGACUUAUAGCAAGUAUUUAAGAAAUGCUGUUUUUAUAUUACAUUAUCAUUAAUAAAAAUGAUUCUAUUCUAGUUUUAUGCCACCGUUCUACAGGUAAAAAAUAUUAAAAAUUUGGGUGUACCUGAACUGAACAUUAAUUUUCUGAAGUUGAUUUUCCUGAUAUCAAUUUAUUUUGUUAUAUUCGGUCUCUGAUUCCCCUAAGUAUAAUUUCAGAAGGAAAAAAAUCUAGGUAAUUGAUUGUUCUAAUCAGUUACAUUUUGUUGAUAAAAGCUUUGCUGAAUUUAUUAUCCCUAAUUUCAGUAAAUUCACAGAAACAAUCUAUCAUUUAUUUAAUUGCUAGGAUACACUCUCUUUUGGAACACAUCUUCCAGCAAUUCAUGAGUAAAAUAGGACCUGGAAAUUAUGCUGUCAUAGUUGUGGAUAAAUGGUCUGGUUUAACUGCUAGUGAGACAGAUGAAAAAAUUAUUCUCAACUCCAUGAGCAACACUAUUGGAUAAGGUACCUGUACCAUUAUCCGUUAAAGUACCAUUUUAAUUUAAAACUGCAUUUUAAUUGCAUCAUGGGUACUCAUAAUGAGUCUGAGUUUGGCAAAGCUAGAAGGAUUGGUGCUCAAGGAGAUGAAAGAAAAAGAUCCAACACUCUGUGGAAAAGACCAUUCAACCACAGGGCACCUCAAAAUAACUAUUUUCAUUCUAGCCUUAGUGCAUGUAAAAGAAAAUACUUCUCUCAGCUGCUGUACAGUAUAGCUGCAAGUGGUUUCCAAAUCAAGGUAUUAUGUUUGCCUUGACCCAAGUGAAUUCCAAGGAAUACAAGUUCUGGAAGAUGUCAGUACACAUUCCAAAAAUGAUAAUAUCUAUAGCCAAGAGACUUUGGAAAAAAAAAAUGUGUUAAACUAAG